rnacentral:rRNA from 1 species
UACAGGUGGUGCAUGGUUGUCGUCAGCUCGUGUCGUGAGAUGUUGGGUUAAGUCCCGCAACGAGCGCAACCCCUGUUGUUAGUUGCCAUCAUUAGUUGGGCACUCUAGCGAGACUGCCGGUGACAAAUCGGAGGAAGGUGGGGACGACGUCAAAUCAUCAUGCCCCUUAUGACCUGGGCUACACACGUACUACAAUGGCCAUUACAGCAGGAAGCGAAGGAGCAAUCCGGAGCAAACCCUCAAAAAUGGCCUCAGUUCAGAUUGUGGGCUGCAACCCGCCCACAUGAAGUCGGAAUUGCUAGUAAUGGCAGGUCAGCAUACUGCCGUGAAUACGUUCCCGGGCCUUGUACACACCGCCCGUCACACCAUGAGAGUCUGCAACACCCGAAGUCAGUAGUCUAACCGCAAGGAGGGCGCUGCCGAAGGUGGGGCCGAUGAUUGGGGUGAAGUCGUAACAAGGUAGCCGUAUCGGAAGGUGCGGCU